AACCUAGCACACCUGCGGUGUGUACCUGCGGAAGGAUCAUUACCGAGUUUACAACUCCCAAACCCCUGUGAACAUACCUAUACGUUGCCUCGGCGGAUCAGCCCGCGCCCCGUAAAAAGGGACGGCCCGCCCGAGGACCCCUAAACUCUGUUUUUAGUGGAACUUCUGAGUAAAACAAACAAAUAAAUCAAAACUUUCAACAAUGGAUCU
rnacentral:misc_RNA from 1 species